AAAACAUGCAAGUCGAGGGGUAUAGAGUGCUUGCAUUCUAGAGACCGGCGCACGGGUGAGUAACGCGUAUGGAAUCCGCCUUGUACAGGGGAAUAGCCCAGGGAAACUUGGAUUAAUGCCCCAUAGUAUCAAGAGACGGCAUUGUUUUUUGAUUAAAGAUUUAUCGGUACAAGAUGAUCAUGCGUACCAUUAGCUAGUUGGUGUGGUAACGGCACACCAAGGCUACGAUGGUUAGGGGCCCUGAGAGGGGGAUCCCCCACACUGGUACUGAGACACGGACCAGACUCCUACGGGAGGCAGCAGUGAGGAAUAUUGGACAAUGGGCGAGAGCCUGAUCCAGCCAUGCCGCGUGCAGGAAGACAGCCCUAUGGGUCGUAAACUGCUUUUGUACGGGAAGAAACACCCCCUCGUGAGGGGGCUUGACGGUACCGUACGAAUAAGGACCGGCUAACUCCGUGCCAGCAGCCGCGGUAAUACGGAGGGUCUGAGCGUUAUCCGGAAUCAUUGGGUUUAAAGGGUCCGUAGGCGGGCGAUUAAGUCAGUGGUGAAAGUCUGCAGCUCAACUGUAGAAUUGCCAUUGAUACUGGUUGUCUUGAAUCGUUGUGAAGUGGCUAGAAUAUGUGGUGUAGCGGUGAAAUGCUUAGAUAUCACAUAGAAUACCGAUUGCGAAGGCAGGUCACUAACAACGUAUUGACGCUGAUGGACGAAAGCGUGGGGAGCGAACAGGAAUAGAUACCCUGGUAGUCCACGCCGUAAACGAUGGAUACUAGCUGUCCGGAC
rnacentral:rRNA from 1 species